GAUGAACGCUGGCGGCGUGCUUAACACAUGCAAGUCGAACGAGAAGUGAAGACGGAAACCUUCGGGCGGAAGGCUUUAUUUCGAGUGGCGGACGGGUGAGUAACGCGUGGGUAACCUGCCUCAUACAGGGGGAUAACAGUUGGAAACGACUGUUAAUACCGCAUAAGACCACAGCACCGCAUGGUGCGGGGGUAAAAACUCCGGUGGUAUGAGAUGGACCCGCGUUCGAUUAGCCAGUUGGCGGGGUAACGGCCCACCAAAGCGACGAUCGAUAGCCGAUCGGGGAGGAUGACCGGCCACAUUGGGACUGAGACACGGCCCAAACUCCUACGGGAGGCAGCAGUGGGGAAUAUUGCACAAUGGGGGAAACCCUGAUGCAGCGACGCCGCGUGAGUGAAGAAGUAUUUCGGUAUGUAAAGCUCUAUCAGCAGGGAAGAAAAUGACGGUACCUGAGGAAGAAGCCCCGGCUAACUACGUG
rnacentral:rRNA from 1 species